UACAGAGGGGGCAAGCGUUGUUCGGAAUUACUGGGCGUAAAGGGCGCGUAGGCGGCCUGCUAAGUCGAACGUGAAAUCCCCGGGCUCAACCCGGGAACUGCGUCCGAUACUGGCAGGCUUGAAUCCGGGAGAGGGAUGUGGAAUUCCAGGUGUAGCGGUGAAAUGCGUAGAUAUCUGGAGGAAUACCGGUGGCGAAGGCGGCAUCCUGGACCAUUACUGACGCUGAGGCGCGAAAGCUAGGGGAGCAAACAGG
rnacentral:rRNA from 1 species